UUACGGCCAUAUCACGUUGAAACACCGGAUUCUGUACGAUCACUGAAGUUAAGCAACGUCGAGCCUGGUCAGUACCUAGAUAGAUGAUUGCUUGAGAAUACCAAGUGCUGUAA